rnacentral:rRNA from 1 species
CACGUAGGGGGCAAGCGUUGUCCGGAUUCAUUGGGCGUAAAGAGCUCGUAGGCGGUUCGAUAAGUCGGGUGUGAAACCUCCAGGCUCAACCUGGAGACGCCACCCGAUACUGUCGUGACUAGAGUCCAGUAGGGGAGUGUGGAAUUCCUGGUGUAGCGGUGAAAUGCGCAGAUAUCAGGAGGAACACCAGUGGCGAAGGCGGCACUCUGGGCUGGCACUGACGCUGAGGAGCGAAAGCGUGGGGAGCGAACAGG